UGGGGAAUUUUGCACAAUGGGGGAAACCCUGAUGCAGCGACGCCGCGUGAUUUAGAAGGCCUUCGGGUUGUAAAAAUCUUUUUUACGGGAUGAAAAUGACAGUACCGUAAGAAUAAGGUCCGGCUAAAUACGUGCCAGCAGCCGCGGUAAUACAUAUGGACCGAGCGUUGUCCGGAAUCAUUGGGCGUAAAGGGUACGUAGGCGGCCUAGUAAGUUAGAAGUGAAAUAAUAUAGCUCAACUAUAUAAAGCUUUUAAAACUGCUAGGCUUGAGAGAUGGAAGGGAAAGUGGAAUUCCUAGUGUAGCGGUGAAAUGCGCAGAUAUUAGGAAGAAUACCGGUGGCGAAGGCGACUUUCUGGUCAUCAUCUGACGCUGAGGUACGAAAGCGUGGGUAGCAAACAGG
rnacentral:rRNA from 1 species